AAGGAAUAUUGGACAAUGGGCGCAAGCCUGAUCCAGCCAUUCCGCGUGUAGGAUGACGGCCCUCUGGGUUGUAAACUACUUUUAUUUGGGAAGAAACCCCGGGAUUUAUCCCGGGCUGACGGUACCAAAAGAAUAAGCACCGGCUAAUUCCGUGCCAGCAGCCGCGGUAAUACGGAAGGUGCAAGCGUUAUCCGGAAUCACUGGGUUUAAAGGGUGCGUAGGCGGUUGCGUAAGUCAGAAGUGAAAGCUCACAGCUUAACUGUGGAAUUGCUUUUGAUACUGCGCGACUAGAAUCAGGUUGAGGUUGGCGGAAUGUGACAUGUAGCGGUGAAAUGCAUAGAUAUGUCAUAGAACACCAAUUGCGAAGGCAGCUGACUGGACCUGCAUUGACGCUGAGGCACGAAAGCGUGGGGAGCGAACAGG
rnacentral:rRNA from 1 species